UACGGAGGGUGCAAGCGUUAUCCGGAUUUACUGGGUUUAAAGGGUGCGUAGGUGGGUAGGAAAGUCAGUGGUGAAAUCUUCGGGCUUAACCCGGAAACUGCCAUUGAUACUAUUUAUCUUGAAUACUUUGGAGGUAAGCGGAAUAUGUCAUGUAGCGGUGAAAUGCUUAGAUAUGACAUAGAACAUCGAUUGCGAAGGCAGCUCGCUACACUAUUAUUGACACUGAGGCACGAAAGCGUGGGGAUCAAACAGG
rnacentral:rRNA from 1 species